rnacentral:rRNA from 1 species
UACGGAGGGUGCAAGCGUUAAUCGGAAUUACUGGGCGUAAAGCGCACGCAGGCGGUCUGUUCAGUCAGCUGUGAAAUCCCCGGGCUCAACCCGGGAACUGCAUUUGAAACUGGCAGGCUUGAGUCUCGUAGAGGGGGGUAGAAUUCCAGGUGUAGCGGUGAAAUGCGUAGAGAUCUGGAGGAAUACCGGUGGCGAAGGCGGCCCCCUGGACGAAGACUGACGCUCAGGUGCGAAAGCGUGGGGAGCAAACAGG